AUCCGAAUGACGAGUCCUAAGUAGGACGAAACGCGCAUCCUAGAU
rnacentral:hammerhead_ribozyme from 1 species